rnacentral:rRNA from 1 species
AGUGAACGCUGGCGGUAGGCCUAACACAUGCAAGUCGAACGGCAGCACAGUAAGAGCUUGCUCUUACGGGUGGCGAGUGGCGGACGGGUGAGGAAUACAUCGGAAUCUACUUUUUCGUGGGGGAUAACGUAGGGAAACUUACGCUAAUACCGCAUACGACCUACGGGUGAAAGCAGGGGAUCUUCGGACCUUGCGCGAUUGAAUGAGCCGAUGUCGGAUUAGCUAGUUGGCGGGGUAAAGGCCCACCAAGGCGACGAUCCGUAGCUGGUCUGAGAGGAUGGUCAGCCACACUGGAACUGAGACACGGUCCAGGCUCCUACGGGAGGCAGCAGUGGCGAAUAUUGGACAAUGGGCGCAAGCCUGAUCCAGCCAUACCGCGUGGGUGAAGAAGGCCUUCGGGUUGUAAAGCCCUUUUGUUGGGAAAGAAAAGCAGCAGGUUAAUACCCCGCUGUUCUGACGGUACCCAAAGAAUAAGCACCGGCUAACUUCGUG